CAAAACAUAGAAACCUAAAAUGGUAAUUUCACAACAACAAAGAUGAAACUUGUAAUUCUUAUCAGGUAACGGCGGUCCUCCGCUUGCUGCCGCCGAUGGUCGUCGGAGAUUUCACCCGUUUCUGCAAUUUUGUAAGGUUUUUGGUCUUCCCAAAACUGAAAUGAGAAUUAAAUCCAGAUUGAGGUUUGAUAAGCUUGUGGUUGAAAGUAGCUAAUGACAUAUGGAGGCACUCGAAGUCGGGAGUCAGGUAUGCUUGUGAAUUCAUACUGCAUUAGAGAUGAGCCCUAAACACCUGAUGCAGUAGGAGGCUAGUAGUGAACUGAAAACAUUAUUUUGUUGAAAUUGUUGACAGUUACAUCCUGUUUACUUAGAGUAUGAGAUCAUCUUCUAUGGAGGCUUAUAGAUCAUUAUUUUUUAUUUUCGCAUUUUUUCAUGCCUAGUGUUUGCUGAUGCAGUUGAAUUGGACUUCUUUCUUUUCUUAUAACUCAAUUUUACUGC